UGGGGAAUAUUGCACAAUGGGGGAAACCCUGAUGCAGCAACGCCGCGUGAGUGAUGAAGGCCUUCGGGUUGUAAAGCUCUGUCUUUGGGGACGAUAAUGACGGUACCCAAGGAGGAAGCCACGUCUAACUACGUGCCAGCAGCCGCGGUAAUACGUAGGUGGCAAGCGUUGUCCGGAUUUACUGGGCGUAAAGCGCACGUAGGCGGACAUUUAAGUCAGGGGUGAAAUCCCAGGGCUCAACCCUGGAACUGCCUUUGAUACUGGGUGUCUUGAGUACGAGAGAGGUGAGUGGAAUUCCGAGUGUAGAGGUGAAAUUCGUAGAUAUUCGGAAGAACACCAGUGGCGAAGGAGGCUCACUGGCUCGUAACUGACGCUGAGGUGCGAAAGCGUGGGGAGCAAACA
rnacentral:rRNA from 1 species